rnacentral:sRNA from 1 species
CAUACCAAUAGAAGCGUCUUGGCAAGA